rnacentral:rRNA from 1 species
AUACGACUCUCGGCAACGGAUAUCUAGGCUCUCGCAUCGAUGAAGAACGUAGCAAAAUGCGAUACUUGGUGUGAAUUGCAGAAGCCCGUGAAUCAUCGAGUUUUUGAACGCAAGUUGCGCCCGAAGCCAUU